rnacentral:rRNA from 1 species
AUUGAACGCUGGCGGCAGGCUUAACACAUGCAAGUCGCGCGAGCGGCGGACGGGUGAGUAAUGUCUGGGAAACUGCCUGAUGGAGGGGGAUAACUACCGGAAACGGUAGCUAAUACCGCAUACCAUCAGAUGUGCCCAGAUGGGAUUAGCUAGUAGGUGGGGUAAUGGCUCACCUAGGCGACGAUCCCUAGCUGGUCUGAGAGGAUGACCGGCCACACUGGAACUGAGACACGGUGCAGAUUCCUACGGGAGGCAGCAGUGGGGAAUAUUGCCCAAGGGGCGCAAGCCUGAUGCAGCCAUGCAGCGUGUGUGAAGAAGGCCUUCGGGUUGUAAAGCACUGUCGGCGAGGAGGCGUUACUCGCAGAAGAAGCACCGGCUAACUCCGUGCCAGCCGCCGCGGUAAUUC